GACGAACGCUGGCGGCGCGCCUAACACAUGCAAGUCGAACGAGCGAGAGAGAGCUUGCUUUCUCGAGCGAGUGGCGAACGGGUGAGUAACACGUAUCCAACCUGCCCUUUACUCGGGGAUAGCCUUUCGAAAGAAAGAUUAAUACCCGAUAGCAUAAUGAUUCCGCAUGGUUUCAUUAUUAAAGGAUUCCGGUAAAGGAUGGGGAUGCGUUCCAUUAGGUUGUUGGUGAGGUAACGGCCCACCAAGCCUUCGAUGGAUAGGGGUUCUGAGAGGAAGGUCCCCCACAUUGGAACUGGGACACGGUCCAA
rnacentral:rRNA from 1 species